rfam:Schistosoma mattheei strain Denwood, Zambia genome assembly, scaffold: SMTD_scaffold0009589
AGCCUUUUGUAUCCGUGCUUAGAUUUUGUCACACACCAGAUCACAAGGGCUGAUAAGACUCCCAAGAUAUGUUUAACA